CUGAAGCCAAAAAGGAUUGAAUACAUCCCCCUAUCCUCUAUCCCUGAAGAUCUCAACUCCAAAAGAAACUGCUGACUAGGAAAUGUUUAAUUGCUACAGGGCAUCUUGUUGUGUUGCUGUAUUUUUUUACAAACCAUAAAAGAAUUGCAUUUUAUCCGUAUGUAUUUACUGCAUCACCAUUGUUCAACUAUAAUCUAUACCUUGGCACUUGGAGAAAUGAGGCAAGAAGUGGUGCUGGUAAUGGUCUUAAUUAAAUCAACUAUUUAUGAUUUCCUCUUAAAGGUCUUUAUUUGCACAGCCUGGAGGAAAAACACAGCAGGAUGGCAGCAGUCAAAGCAGUAGAAGAACAGAUUGAAUUAGCAUGGCAGUCCUAAAAUGCCAGUUUUACUCUACAAGUCUCCCUUCAACUGAGCACUAAAUUGGAUUUUAUUGGGCAAGCCCCAACCACCCAGUGCUUUUGUGAGUCUCAUGGAGCACAGCAUUAUUCCUUAUUCAUCUUUAUUUGGAAUGGUAGGGGAUAAUAAGGGAGGCUAACAGAUUUUCCUAAAUAGAGAUCUUCUUCUUACUAUGUAGAAAUUAAAUUUAUCUCUUUUCAGUGGGAAUUCUUCUUGCCUUGCCUUAGUAUCUCUAUAUCCUAUGGCAUAUGGAAGUUCCCAGGCUAGAGGUCCAAUAGAGCUGCAGCUAUCAGCCACAGUCACAGCCACAGAAAUGCCAGAUCCGAGCUGUGUCUGCAACCUACACCACAGUUCAUGGAAGCGCCAGAUCCUUUAACCCACUGAGCAAGGCCAAAGAUCAAACCUGAGUCCUCAUGAAUAUUGGUCAGAUUCUUAACCCGCUGCAACACAACAGGAACUCCCAGAGUGCUGAUUUGUUGCAAUUUACUUAGAGCACACUGGGACGAAAGGGCAACAUGAAUGCACAGAAACCCAAAGUAACCUCCAGUCUGGGGUAACUGGCAAUGAUAGAAGGAAGUAAGGAUAGAAAUAAGUUUAUGGAAGUAAAAAUGGAUGUCAUUUGUAUUUCAGUUUAAAAUACUUGAAAUAGUCUGAGGAGACUGUGGGGAGCAGUGGUAGUUUUAUCUUUCAGAUGAUGUCACUAGGAUCAACAUUAAAAUCAGUUCAUUAAACAUUAAAAUUCAACAUUAAAGUUCACCUGGAGAAUACUCACAAAUUGGUCAGCAUCUCAGAUGGAUUAGGAGAGAACUAGGAAAGAAGAGGAGUUAUUAAAACCAGAUGGCGGAUACCCCACAGCACAGAGUCUCAAGUCAGUAUUGGGGAGAUUACCAUGCAAAAUCGUUUGGCUUUAAAGGCCAUUAGAUGUGGAGUUCUCUUUUGGCACAGUGGGUUAAGGAUCUGGCAUUGCCACUGCUGUAGCUCGGGUUGCUGCUAUGGUGCAGGUUCCAUCCCUGAUGCAGGAACUUCUGCAUACAGCAGGCAUGAACAAACAAACAAACAAACAGGAAAAUAACGUAAAGGCCAUUGGGGGAAUCAUGAGGUUGCAGGUUCAAUCCCUGGCCUUGCUCAGUGGGUUAAGGAUCCCAAGUUGCCAUGAGCUGUGGUUGUAGGUCACAGACGCCCUUGUGGCUGGGAUCCUACAUUGCUGUGGCUGUGGCAUAGGCCGGAAGAUACAGCUCCGAUUCGAGCGCUAGUCUGGGAACCUACAUAUGCUGUGGGUGCGGCCCUGAAAAGAAGAAAAAAAAAAUCCUACAUUGCUCACACAGCUAUAUAAUUUUAAAUACUAGGUCAAGGAUUAACCAAGCUCACAUUAUUAAUAUUCAAUAAACAUCCUUAAAAAUGUCAAGGCAGAAUAACUAUCAGGCCAGGUUCCCCUUCUCUUUCCUCUGUGUAGGAACACCUUUGAAGUAAAUGAAGCUUUUUGCUUGGAAUAGAUGAAGAGACUCAUGUCUUGGGAUGGGAAUCAGACUGAAAAAGAAGUUAACCAGAGAGAGAUUUUCUAACUUGAUAGUGAGUUAAGUGAUUGAGAUCUAAUUUAGCUAUUCUACCAGCUUGUGGUCCAAUUUUUCAUUUUAUUAUGCCUUUGACUUUUCUGUCUGCAAGAUCAGAAGCAGUAAUCCUACACUGACAUGUGAAAAAUUCCAGGUUAUUUCACCAAGUCUUGCAAAUUAUCAUAGACACUUGUGCCUAAGGCUUGAAAGAAAUUAGACCAUGCCUAGAAUAAAUCAUGACCCUGGAAAAUGUUUCAUAAAAAUUAAAACUAUUGCCCCUGGCAACUAUACCUGACUUCUUAAAGCCUAUGAUAUUCACUAAAAUUAGCUCCUGACACUAUUAAGUGAGAGAAAGACUGUGGACCAUUUUGUAGAUUAAUAAAGCUUGUUGACUAAUUGUUUAAAUCUAUCUAUAAAACAAUAUUUAAAGACACUUCUUAGAUUCAAGAAAGAAAAGUCAAAUCCAUCUCAACAUGGGACAGAUUUUCUCUUUCUUUAAAGAAUUUUCUUUAAAGAAAUUCAAUAACAUCCUUCAUUAACAGACCCAAGUUCCCUAUAUAUUCAUGUAGCUGUUAAAAUAAAUUGUUAAGAAAACUGAAGCUAGAGCACUUUGCUAGCAGAAGGUACCAUGCAAAUGCACACUUAAUAUUGUAGGCGUGGCUCUGCCAAUGGUUUCAAGCUCACCAAUUCUGGUUUCUAGGGAUUCUAAUCUUUUGAACUUCUUCAACAUUGGAUGAAAGUAGGACACUUCUUCCUCAAAAGGAGGUCUUAAGAUUUUGAAAUUGAAAUGUUUUAAUAACUUUCCAAAUUUUAAAACAAAAGCUAAAACAGUAGGUUUUUUAAAAAGAAAGGCAAACAGAGGAGUUAAUAGCCAUGCUGAUAACAGUUUAGCAAUUCUGAUGCUAGGCAGGUACAGGCAGGAGUUGGUUAUAUACAGGAGUGUUCUCAAAUGGUUCAGAAAUGUGAGCAAUUGGGAAUCUGGGUAAAAAGUACACUGGAACUCUGUGUAUUUUACUACAACUGUUAGAAAAAUUGAAAUUAUUUCAAGAUAAACAGAGUUUUUUUUAAAAAUAGAAGUCAUUUUUAAAACAACUACUCCCCUGAAAAAAAGUCAAAUGUAAAAAAAAUUUCUUAAAAAAGUCAUAUAUUUUUCUAGAUCACUAAUUCCCAAAGGGUGGUUCUGAACCAUCAUCAUCACGCGAGAACUUGUAGGAAUGCAAGUGUCACGUUUAGUGAAGAAUCUGUUACUGGCUGUAAGAGAAACUUUGCCAGACUCAGAAGCCAAAUGGCAGAACUAAUAUGCAAAUGUCUAUUGGUUAGUGGGGAGACAGAUAGAGGCAGGAAUCUAAGUGUAAAACCUGAGGGAGUGGGUGCACAGGCAGUAUGGGGACGACCUGUGUAUCUUAAUGGAGAAAUCUCACUACUCAGGGGAACUAAAAACCAAGAACCUGCCUUUGAACAGGUUGGCAGGGAAAAGGCAAAACUUGCUUAGGAGUUCCUGUCGUGGCACAGUGGUUAACGAGUCCGACUAGGAACCAUGAGGUUUCGGGUUCGAUCCCUGGCCUUGCUCAGUGGGUUAAGGAUCCGGCAUUGCCAUGAGUUGUGGUGUAGGUUGCAGAUGCGGCUUGGAUCCCGAGUUGCUGUAGCUCUGGCGUAGGCCGGUGGCUACAGCUCCGAUUAGACCCCUAGCCUGGGAACCUCCAUAUGCUGUGGAAAGUGGCCCUAGAAAAGGCAAAAAGACAAAAAAAAAAAAGAAGAAGAAGAAAUUUGCUUAAAGAGCUUGUCUAAUUAAAUAGAGGGUUACAUGUGAUGAACUAACUAUACUCUCUGAUGGAUGAAGAAGCUCUAGUUCUGGAAGCCAACAAAACCUCAAAUCGAGCGAAGACUCCAUUUUGCUUGUUAGUCUAGGCUUCUUUAUUGGCACUGGAAACACAUCCCCCGAGAUAAAAAAAAGUAUUUCUCUCUGUGUACAAGAUGCAGAUUAUUUUUACAGAGCAUGAUGAUGAACUACAAUCUUUAUUAAUAUAAAACAAAUGCAAAUACAAAGCAUCUUUUCUUUUUACAAAACUGUUAUUUACUCCAUAUUUCCAAUGUUAAAAAAUGUUAGUGAGUUUUAUUCAUGUGAGAUAAAUACAACCAAAAAUAUGAAAGCCUUCUCUUAUCUGCAUUGGAACAGAGAAACUGAACUAUAAGUUGUAGAGAUGUUAAUUACUGAUGGCCAAGGACUCAUACAUGACGACAUCCUUAUGAGUGUGUUAUCCUUAUGAGUCAUCAUAGGGUAUCCUUAUGAAUAAGUGUGUUAGGGGUGGAAGGAUUGACAAGAUAUGAGGAGGGGUAAUUUGCAGAGAUGUUUGCAGAUAAAGGCAAUGAUUCUGUUCAACAUGCAUUAAAGAAUGAAGUCCAGAAAAGAAAAAGAAAAAAAGACCUUGGAGCUUUAAGAGAAAGUUUAAUCCAGUAUUAGAGCUAUUUGAAUGAAAAAAAUAGAAAAUGAAUGGAAGUAAGAGUCUAAUCAACCUAGGAUACUGGUUGAAAGUGGAUUUACACUAGAUUAAAUAAAUAGCCUCAAAGCAUGCCAUCCAGACUCACUUCAUCUCCUCUGACAUCUACCUGUGCCUUGAAUUCACCUUGUUAGGUUCUGAGGAACUUGACACUCUCAGGAUCAUGUCUUUUGAGCUUGGGAGAAAAACUAAUGAAGAGACAUUCAGAAAACUCCACAGGCAAUCUCUGAUGGCCUGACUGGAUCCUUUGCUCCUUUCACCAAGCAUUAUAGAAGGAAGACAGAACAUUAGUUGGCCAAGACUGGGUGCUCAGUUCCAUGGCCGUGGGGACAGAGGACUUUGAUAGGCAAGCCCCAAUCACCUAGAAAAAUUGUGAGUGAGGCUCUGUUACCAAAGGGAGGUGAGCAAACUAUAAGCAGAAAGUGAAAAGAGAUUGUGUAUGGACAGAAACAGCAAGUGUCCACUAUCUUAGUAACUAGGUGGAAAGUGACAAGGAGAUGAACUAACAUGUGGAAUUUUUGGUUAAAAAAUAGAACAGAACUGAGAAAUACUUAAGCAGCAACAUUGACAGGACUUGGCAAGUGGCCAAUAGAAUUGUGGGUAGCCAGUUCUGAACUAGAUAGUAUAGCAUUUGAAUUUUCUGUAAGGAAUAGAAAUUGUGUAAAUAUCGGGA
rnacentral:lncRNA from 1 species